UCUAGUGUUUUCCUCCUAUUCCCAGAAGGAUUUUCAGUGUGCCCCUUCAGAGAUAUCCGUGCCAGCAGCCCUGUGCCUCCUGUUCUGAGUCCUGGCGGCAAACGGGUGCCUCUUCAGAGCUCUUGCAGCAGUGUGGCGAUGUCCCCUCUGGAUCUUAGUGCUGCAAGGGUCUUGUUUAGACUCUGGAGGUUCUACCAAAGAGAGCUGCUCAUCUCAGUAGUCAAUGCCUGGGCCAAAGCUGUGCGACUCGAAGAAUGAUCACCUGACCUGAGCUCCUCCCAUCGGAUCGUUUAGCUAUCUCCUACUUUCUUACGUAGGAAAAGGAGCAUCCUCAGGAAACCUCAUCCACCGCAUGGUUUUCCAAGAUAGCUAUCACUGGGGGA